GAAAUGCGAUACUUGGUGUGAAUUGCAGAAUCCCGUGAACCAUCGAGUCUUUGAACGCAAGUUGCGCCCGAGGCCUUCGGGCCGAGGGCACGCCUGCCUGGGCGUCACGCCUCGCAUCGGACAACACCCACUGCCCUCCUGGGUCGGGUGUGGCUUCGGACAUUGGCCUUCUGUGCACUCGCGCGCAGUGGGCUUAAGAGAGGGCCGUCGGUCGGGUCGGCACGACGAGUGGUGGACUUUGUGCCAACAGGAUGUCGUGUCCCCGGACGCUGAAUAGCCAACGACCCCGAACUGGGCGUGCUAGGCGCUCUCCCGUUUGGGAGGGCCCUCAGCCUCGCAACGUGACCCCAGGUCAGGCGGGGACACCCGCUGAGUUUAA
rnacentral:misc_RNA from 1 species